AUGCAGCUUUUGGUUGUACAUAAACACCCCGGACCGCCUCGUACCUUAACGCCUUAAUUUCAGCUUCUUGGCCUUAAUGGUUUUUAGUGCUAUCAUUGUUCGUGAGUUCGGUUCGAUCUCCUUAGAUAUCAUCUCUUUAAUAAGUGUUACAGCAUGCUGCCUAUAUCCCAUAGAGCAAUAGCCACACACAAGAGCAGUGUACGUCACAGUAUUCGGUUGAAUACCUCUGUCGAUCAUUUCAUUGAACAGGUUAACCGCAUCCUGUAGGUUUUCCCAUCUGCAAUGUUUGUCGAUCAUAACCGUGUAACAGUAAACAUCACGAGUCAAACCCGUUUGUUCAAUUUCACUUGAAAUCCUCAACACAUUCUUCUGUCUACCCUCUCCAUGAAGCAAAACCGUAUACGUAAUAAUAUCAGGUUGUAUACCCCUAUGUUUCAUGUCAUCGAAUAGAUAAUAAGCUUCCUUCAAGUAAUUCACCCUGCAAUAACCGUUUAACAUCAUCGUGUACGUAACAGCAUCCGGUGUUAAUCCUUUCUGAAUC
rnacentral:lncRNA from 1 species